GCCUGGGUGGCUCAAUUGGUUGAGCUUCUGACUUUGGCUCAGGUCAUGAUUUACGGUUCGUGAGUUCGAGCCCCGCAUCGGGCU
rnacentral:tRNA from 1 species